UACGUAGGUGGCAAGCGUUGUCCGGAUUUACUGGGCGUAAAGGAUGCGUAGGCGGACAUUUAAGUCAGAUGUGAAAUACCCGAGCUUAACUUGGGUGCUGCAUUUGAAACUGGGUGUCUAGAGUGCAGGAGAGGUAAGUGGAAUUCCUGGUGUAGCGGUGAAAUGCGCAGAUAUCAGGAAGAACACCCGUGGCGAAGGCGGCUCUCUGGAACGCAACUGACGCUGAGACGCGAAAGCGUGGGGAGCAAACAGG
rnacentral:rRNA from 1 species